rnacentral:rRNA from 1 species
ACAGGGAUUGCCCUAGUAACGGCGAGUGAAGCGGCAACAGCUCAAAUUUGAAAGCUGGCUCCGGCCCGCAUUGUAAUUUGCAGAGGAUGCUUUUGGUGAGGUGCCUUCCGAGUUCCCCUGGAACGGGACGCCACAGAGGGUGAGAGCCCCGUAUGGAUGGACACCAAACCUGUGUAAAGCUCCUUCAACGAGUCGAGUAGUUUGGGAAUGCUGCUCAAAAUGGGAGGUAAAUCUCUUCUAAAGCUAAAUACCGGCCAGAGACCGAUAGCGCACAAGUAGAGUGAUCGAAAGAUGAAAAGCACCUUGAAAAGGGGGUUAAACAGUACGUGAAAUUGUUGAAAGGGAAGCGUUUAUGACCAGACUUGCGCCGGGCAGCUCAUCAGGGGUUCUCCCCUGUGCACUCUGCCCGGCUCAGGCCAGCAUCGGUUCUCGUGGGAGGAUAAGAACGGUAGGAAUGUGGCCCCCUCUCGGGGGGGUGUUAUAGCCUGCCGUACGAUACUCCCGUGGGGACCGAGGUUCGCGCUCCGCAAGGAUGCUGGCGUAAUGGUCAUCAACGACCCGUCUUGAAACACGGACCAAGGAGUCGUCCAUUAGAGCGAGCGUUUGGGUGUAAAACCCGCACGCGUAAUGAAAGUGAACGCAGGUGAGAGCUUCGGCGCAUCAUCGACCGAUCCUGAUGUUCUCGGAUGGAUUUGAGUAAGAGUUUUAACGGACGGACCCGAAAGACAGUGAACUAUGCUUGUAUAGGGUGAAGCCAGAGGAAACUCUGGUGGAGGCUCGCAGCGGUUCUGACGUGCAAAUCGAUCGUCAAAUAUGAGCAUGGGGGCGAAAGACUAAUC